rnacentral:rRNA from 1 species
UACGGGGGGGGCAAGCGUUGUUCGGAAUUACUGGGCGUAAAGGGCUCGUAGGCGGCCCACUAAGUCCGACGUGAAAUCCCCAGGCUUAACUUGGGAACUGCGUCGGAUACUGGUGGGCUUGAAUCCGGGAGAGGGAUGCGGAAUUCCAGGUGUAGCGGUGAAAUGCGUAGAUAUCUGGAAGAACACCAGUGGCGAAGGCGGCUCUCUGGGACGGUACUGACGCUGAGACGCGAAAGCGUGGGGAGCGAACAGG